AUACGGAGGGGGCUAGCGUUGUUCGGAAUUACUGGGCGUAAAGCGCGCGUAGGCGGCGCACGCAGUCAGAGGUGAAAGGCCUGGGCUCAACCCAGGAACUGCCUUUGAUACUGGUGUGCUAGAGUCCGGGAGAGGGUAGCGGAAUUCCCAGUGUAGAGGUGAAAUUCGUAGAUAUUGGGAAGAACACCGGUUGCGAAGGCGGCUACCUGGACCGGUACUGACGCUGAGGUGCGAAAGCGUGGGGAGCAAACAGGAUUAGAAACCCCAGUAGUCC
rnacentral:rRNA from 1 species